rnacentral:ncRNA from 2 species
AGGAGCCGGAUGAGGUGAAAGUCUCAAGUCCGGUUCUGAAGACGAGCAGUAAUCGUGAGGUUAUUGCUUAGUUUAAC